AUGAAAUUGGUCUCUGAACCAAAACACCUGUGUGCAACCUAUCCUGUCUCUGGUGGUGAAUCUUGAUGUAUGAAUUGAUGGCUAUGAUCUCUUAUUGGGAGGUCAAUGUUGUCGUUCUGAUCUGGGGGAUCCACCACAACUGUGAGCCCCUGACUUUCAUGCUCACGGAUGCUCAACCAACCUACUGUAAAUUUCUGACUGAUUAUUUUCACUUUGUGAAUCUUGAAA
rnacentral:misc_RNA from 1 species